UUCAUUUCCAAAGCUUCGCUGCUCAUCUUGACUAAGCUUCGCACAAGUCAAAACAGAAUCCCAACAGCCAUUUAUUUGAAUCAAUUCAAGUGUGGUAAUAUCAGCAAACGCAAUAGGGAUCUCUCGCAACAAAUUGCACCAAUUUAACUCUAAAUGUUGAAGCACAGGGAAAUGAUCACCCACCGCAUUCCAAUUUUUCAAAAUCCAGCUUUGAAAUACCAACCUUUUCAAUUGACGGAACCCUGCCUCACAUGGCUCCCACUCUGUGCCUUGACAAGCAUGUAUCAAUUUUAGAACUUCUAGAUUUGGCAACAUACCAAUAAGUCUUAUAUCACUCCAUGGAAACCUAGUCAAGAUGAAUUUGAGCUUCUUAAGAUUUAGUAGAAAACUAGUUGCCCAUGGGAUGCCACUAUACGGAAGUUUGAGAUGCCACUUUUUGAUGCUUAGUUUCUCAAGCUGCCCCAAGUGCACAAAAUUAUAGAAACCAUCUGAAUUUUCAUAUUCAAAAUUCAUUUCACCAAGAAUCCCCAAUUUUUUUAAAUUUGGAAUCCUUGUAAAAAGAUCCUCCGUACAACACUUCGGACGCAACCAAGAUAUACUCUCUAUGUUUCUAUGAACAACCUCUGAAGCCUCUA